rnacentral:rRNA from 1 species
UUUGAGUUAAUUUAAAGUCCAAUCUGCCCACUGAUUUAUUAAAGGGCUGCAGUAAUUUGACUGUACAAAGGUAGCAUAAUCAUUAGUCUUUUAAUUGAAGACUUGUAUGAAGGAUUUGAUGAAAUAUAAACUGUCUCUAAAUUAUAAUUAAAAUUUAAUUUUUUAGUUAAAAAGCUAAAAUAAAUUUAAAAGACGAGAAGACCCUAUAGAGUUUUAUAGUUUAUAAUUUAAAAUAUUUAUAUAAAAAUUUAAUAUAAAAUAUUAUAAAUUAUUUUGUUGGGGUGAUAAAAAAAUAAGAAAAACUUUUUUUUUUAUAUAAACAUAAAUAAUUGAAUUAAUGAUCCUAAGUAAAGAUUAUAAGAAAAAAUUACCUUAGGGAUAACAGCGUAAUAUUUUUUUUUAGUACAAAUAAAAAAAAAAGUUUGCGACCUCGAUGUUGGAUUAAGAUAAAAUUUAAAUGCAAAAGUUUAAAAUUUUGAUCUGUUCGAUCAUUAAAAUCUUAC